GCAGGACAUAGGAAAUGGUACUGAUGAGAGGAAAUAGCCAGCAGGCAGGGGAAGCUGAGCCAGCACACAGUGCGAUGGCAGGUUGCUGAUUUACCACAGCAGCCUUCAUCUUUGAAACCUCCUACUUGAGAUGCGCUAUGCUAUACGUUAUGACGACAAUCAGUUUUUCGACUGACGACAAUCAUUGCGUGGGGCAGACAAAAAAAGCUAAACAGCCCUUUAUUCUUGUUAUGUAAUAGCAUAAAACACAGCAAGCAGAGGAGACUUUGACUUUGUGCAUUGCAAAUAUCAUGACGACCAGCUAGCACAUUGUAAAUUACGAGGAAGAACAGCUAUGUCUAAAUGAAUGUAUACCUAUUUUAAUCUUAGAAAUAACAUGUAAAGGGUGCAUUGUGUGCAUUUGCACGAAGCUCGAAUGCGCGCCGAGGAUUAAUUUACCGGUGACCAAUUUGAGUCGCCUUCUGAAGAGGUUUAUCGUUGCACUGGUGUGAUUCCUUCAGAAUUUUGGCCGAAAGGAGCGUCUCUCACCUCAUUUGUAAGGAUAUGCCGGAACAGUGUCAUCAUCAAUAACCAAGUUGGGAUAGUCUACUGGGAAGAUUCAUUUUGGAAUCACAUUUUGUUGAAUAUAUUAAUUAUAUCAAGCAGACGAUAGGCAUAAACAAUGGCGGGCCCGGAGCAGUCCCAGCAGGUAGAGCAGAAAGCUGAGCCCAUAGACGACGCUGAGCUCGCUCUUCAAGGUAUCAACAUGCUUCUCAACAACGGAUUCAAGGAGAGCAACGAGCUUUUCAGAAAAUAUAGGACUCACAGUCCACUGAUGAGCUUUGGGGCCAGUUUUGUCAGCUUCCUGAAUGCCAUGAUGACCUUUGAGGAGGAGAAGAUGCAGACGGCGUGUGACGACCUGAGAACCACGGAGAAGCUGUGUGAGAGUGACAACGCUGGCGUCAUAGAGACAAUAAGGAACAAAAUCAAGAAGAGCUUGGAGUCCCAGAGGUCAGCGGUCGUGGUUGUGGACCGCCUGCAACGACAGAUCAUUGUGGCCGACUGCCAGGUCUACCUCGCUGUGCUUUCCUUCGUCAAGCAGGAGCUCUCAUCGUACAUCAAAGGAGGCUGGAUCCUCCGUAAGGCCUGGAAGAUGUACAAUAAGUGCCACAGUGACAUCAGUCAGCUGCAGGAGACCUGUGUGAGGCGCUGUUCCUCCCAUGAGGAGGAUCUGUCCUCAGACCAGGCCAAUCACAACUCCCCAGUGGAGGGCACUGUGACUGAAGAGGCCCUGGACCGGCUCAAGGGCUCCGUCAGCUUCGGCUACGGCCUCUUUCACCUCUGCAUCUCUAUGGUACCACCACACCUACUCAAGAUCAUCAACCUGCUGGGUUUCCCUGGUGACCGUCUCCAGGGUUUGUCCUCCCUCAUGUAUGCCAGUGAGAGUAAGGACAUGAAGGCCCCACUAGCUACGUUGGCCCUCCUGUGGUACCACACAGUAGUGCUGCCCUUUUUUGCACUGGAUGGUUCUGACACUCAGGCAGGCCUGGAGGAAGCCAAGGCCAUUCUGCAGAGGAAGGCUGUGGUCUACCCCAAUUCCUCCCUCUUCAUGUUCUUUAAAGGACGUGUUCAGAGGUUAGAGUGCCAAAUUAACAGUGCGCUGGUGUCCUUCCAUGAUGCACUAGAGCUGGCAUCAGACCAAAGAGAGAUCCAGCACGUGUGUCUCUAUGAAAUCGGCUGGUGCAGUAUGAUAGAGAUGAACUUUGAGGAUGCAUUCAGGUCAUUUGAGAGGCUGAAGAAUGAGUCCCGGUGGUCACAGUGUUACUAUGCCUACCUGACUGGAGUAUGUCAGGGAGCUGCAGGGGACUUGGAUGGUGCCAAGUGUGUCUUCAAAGAUGUCCAGAAACUGUUCAAGAGGAAGAACAACCAGAUUGAGCAGUUUGCCCUCAAGCGGGCGGAGAGACUGAGGAAGAUGUCUCCCACCAGAGAGCUGUGCAUUCUGGGAGUCAUAGAGGUGCUGUACCUGUGGAAGGCUCUGCCCAACUGCUCCUCCUCCAAACUGCAGCUCAUGAAUCAGGUGUUACAGAGUGUGGAUGACGCAUCGUGCAGGGGUCUGAAAAACCUCCUUCUUGGUUCCAUUCACAAAUGCCAUGGAAAUAAUAAAGAUGCUAUCCAGUCGUUCCAGCUGGCAGCCAGAGAUGAGUUUGGUCGACAGACCAACUCUUAUGUGCAGCCAUACUCCUGCUAUGAACUUGGAUGUGUCCUGCUUGCCAAGCCAGAAACGGUGGGAAAAGGGAGAGCUUUUCUGCUUCAGUCAAAGGAGGAUUAUGCAGGCUAUGACUUUGAGAACAGACUUCAUGUGCGCAUCCACUCAGCCAUGGCCUCGCUGAAGGAAGUGGUACCUCAAAGACCCGCCGACCACUGAUGUAAUGAUAACUCAGCCUCCAGCUGUGCAUUUGAUGAUACGGGAAGCAUGGCUUUUACUAUACAUUGAAAGCCAUUCAAAACCACAAGAAUUUGGCAGUACAUGCAACCGGCCUCACAACCGCAGACCCUGUGUAACCACGCCAGCCCAGGACCACCACAUCCGGCUUCUUCACGUGCGGGAUCGUCUGAGGAGGGGGAUGGGGGGUGCUGAGGAGUAUUUGUCUCUGUAAUAAAGCCUUAAUGUGUGGGGAGAAAAACUCAUUCUGAAUGGCUGGGCCUGGCUUCCCAGUGGGUGGGCCUAUGCCCUCCCAGGCCCACCCAUGGCUGUGCCCCUGCCCAAUCGUGAAAUCCAUAGAUUAGGGCCUAUUGAAUUUAUUUCAAUUGAGUGAUUUCCUUCUACUCAGUAAAAUCUUUGAAAUUGUUAAAUGUUAAAUUAAAUUGUUAAAUGAACAUGCCAUACUAAUAAAGGCAUUUUAAUUAAUUAUAUGAAGAGUGCUGGUCCUCCUUUCUUUUUGAUGACCAAUUUACCCCUUUUAGCAAAGAGCACCUCCUGUCUACCAAAAUGUACUAUUGUGUAUCUUAGUAGCGCUUCCCUUCCUCCUCUUUCUACUUGUUAUUUGUUGCGUUUCUGUUUCUGUUCAGUAUACAUGAAGGGGGAUAUAAACGAUCUUUGAAUCUGGUGCUUGUCAAAUGUGGAAUAACUCUUUGCCACCCUUCAUAUAGCAUGGUAUAUUAUUAUGAAUGAUUUCUAAAACAUCUAUAUAGGCCUUGUGGUAAAGGGCUUGUGAAGGCUUCAACAUGCUAUGUUUCCUUUAAAGUGGGACUUAUUUUUUCAUGUUCAAGGUUGUUUUUGAACAUUGUUUUAUCUACACUAAAGUCAGUCACUGACCUCCCAUCUUUUCCUGUGAUUGUGUAAAGGGAUGAAGAUGUGGUGUGAUGUAUACCUUUUGACUACUGAGUGUGUGACCAGUAAGUGCUGGUAUAAAGUAAGUUCACAGCUGUAAGAGAAAAGUGUAUUAGAAUGACAUGUAAUAAGUAAUGAGUUAAAUGUCAUUAUAUGUAUACCAAAAAACGAGGACAUUCCUUUCUUAGAAAUGUGUUCUAUCCACUUUGUUGUGGGGUUGUGGAGGAUUAUGUGGAUAGAGAUGGUUACAUUGUAACAGGAAGUUGUUCCUAUGUGGUGUCAGAGCCCUACAUACUGUUCAAUAAAGUGUUGUCAAUUAAUUCUG